UGGAUCCAGACUUUGAUCAUGGCUCAGGAUGAACGCUAGCUACAGGCUUAACACAUGCAAGUCGAGGGGAAACGAUAGAGAAAGCUUGCUUUUUCUAGGCGUCGACCGGCGCACGGGUGAGUAACGCGUAUCCAACCUGCCCACCACUUGGGAAUAACCUUGCGAAAGUAAGACUAAUACCCAAUGACGUCUCUAGAAGACAUCUGAAAGAGAUUAAAGAUUUAUCGGUGAUGGAUGGGGAUGCGUCUGAUUAGCUUGUUGGCGGGGUAACGGCCCACCAAGGCGACGAUCAGUAGGGGUUCUGAGAGGAAGGUCCCCCACAUUGGAACUGAGACACGGUCCAAACUCCUACGGGAGGCAGCAGUGAGGAAUAUUGGUCAAUGGGCGAGAGCCUGAACCAGCCAAGUAGCGUGCAGGAAGACGGCCCUAUGGGUUGUAAACUGCUUUUAUAAGGGAAUAAAGUGAGUCUCGUGAGACUUUUUGCAUGUACCUUAUGAAUAUGGACCGGCUAAUUCCGUGCCAGCAGCCGCGGUAAUACGGAAGGUCCGGGCGUUAUCCGGAUUUAUUGGGUUUAAAGGGAGCGUAGGCCGGAGAUUAAGCGUGUUGUGAAAUGUAGACGCUCAACGUCUGCACUGCAGCGCGAACUGGUUUCCUUGAGUACGCACAAAGUGGGCGGAAUUCGUGGUGUAGCGGUGAAAUGCUUAGAUAUCACGAAGAACUCCGAUUGCGAAGGCAGCUCACUGGAGCGCAACUGACGCUGAAGCUCGAAAGUGCGGGUAUCGAACAGGAUUAGAUACCCUGGUAGUCCGCACGGUAAACGAUGGAUGCCCGCUGUUGGUCUGAAUAGGUCAGCGGCCAAGCGAAAGCAUUAAGCAUCCCACCUGGGGAGUACGCCGGCAACGGUGCAACUCAAAUGAAUUGACGGA
rnacentral:rRNA from 1 species